rnacentral:rRNA from 1 species
UACUGUGGCCAUACCAGCCUGUCAUUUCCAGAUCCCGUUAGAUCUUGGAAGCUAAGCAGGUCUAGGCCUGGUUAGUAGGUGGAUGGGAGACCACUGAGAAUUCCAGGUGCCACAGUGG